rnacentral:misc_RNA from 1 species
UACCUUCUCUCAGUAAUGUGAAUUGCAGAAUUCAGUGAAUCAUCGAAUCUUUGAACGCACCUUGCGCUCCUUGGUAUUCCUUGGAGCAUGCCUGUUUGAGUAUCAUGAAAUCUUCAAAGUAAAUCUUUUGUUAACUCAAUUGGUUUCUACUUUGGUAUUGGAGGUCUUUGCAGCUUCACACCUGCUCCUCUUUGUUCAUUAGCUGGAUCUCAGUGUUAUGCUUGGUUCCACUCGGCGUGAUAAGUUAUCUAUCGCUGAGGACACUGUAAAAGGUGGCCAAGGUAAAUGCAGAUGAACCGCUUCUAAUAGUCCAUUGACUUGGACAAUACUUUUAUGAUCUGAUCUCAAAUCAGGUAGGACUACCCGCUGAACUUAAGC